AAUCAACGCUGGCGGCGUGCCUAACACAUGCAAGUCGCACGAGAAAGGGUCUUCGGAUCUGAGUAAAGUGGCGCACGGGUGAGUAACACGUGAAUUAUCUACCUUCGAGUGGGGAAUAACUUCGGGAAACCGAGGCUAAUACCGCAUAAUAUCUACGGAUCAACGCAGUAAUGCGCUUGAAGAGGAGUUCGCGGCCGAUUAGUUAGUUGGCGGGGUAAUGGCCCACCAAGACGAUGAUCUGUAUCCGGCCUGAGAGGGCGCACGGACACACUGGAGCUGAAACACGGUCCAGACUCCUACGGGAGGCAGCAGUGGUGAAUUUUGCGCAAUGGGGGAAACCCUGACGCAGCAACGCCGCGUGGAGGAUGAAGUCUCUUGGGACGUAAACUCCUUUCGAUAGGGAAGAUUAUGACGGUACCUAUAGAAGAAGCCCCGGCUAACUUCGUGCCAGCCGCCGCAGUAA
rnacentral:rRNA from 1 species